GAUGAACGCUGGCGGCGUGCCUAAUACAUGCAAGUCGAACGGACGGUCGCAAGACCGUUAGUGGCGAACGGGUGAGUAACGCGUUGGUGACCUGCCCUAUAGUGGGGGAUACCAGACCGAAAGGUCUGCUAAUACCGCAUGAGUUCUCGGGAGAUUAGAAGCCUGGGAAGAAAGCCGAAAGGCGCUAAAGGAGGGGCCUGCGUCCCAUCAGCUAGUUGGUAAGGUAACGGCUUACCAAGGCGAUGACGGGUAGGGGACCUGAGAGGGUGACCCCCCAGACAAUGGAACUGAAACACGGUCCAUACACCUACGGGUGGCU
rnacentral:rRNA from 1 species